GAUGAACGCUGGCGGCGUGCCUAAUACAUGCAAGUCGAGCGAACAGACGAGGAGCUUGCUCCUUUGACGUUAGCGGCGGACGGGUGAGUAACACGUAGGUAACCUACCUAUAAGACUGGGAUAACUUCGGGAAACCGGAGCUAAUACCGGAUAAUAUUUCGAACCGCAUGGUUCGAUAGUGAAAGAUGGCUUUGCUAUCACUUAUAGAUGGACCUGCGCCGUAUUAGCUAGUUGGUAAGGUAACGGCUUACCAAGGCAACGAUACGUAGCCGACCUGAGAGGGUUACGCCCCACACGGGACCAGACACGCGCCCCACACCCCUGGGGGGGGCAGCGGGGGAAACUUUCCCACAGGGGGAAAGCCCCACGGGGCGAAGCCCCGGGGGUGAUAAAAGGUUUUGGGUCUUAAAACUCUCUUUUUUGGGGAAAAAAAAAGCGUGAGUAAAUGUGCGCGCCUUGAGGGGACCUAAACAGAAAACCCCGCCUAACCCCGC
rnacentral:rRNA from 1 species